GGGGGCUUAGCUUAGUUGGUUAAAGCAUCCGGCUCAUAACCGGAGGAUCUGGGGUUCAAGUCCCUAAGCCCCUA
rnacentral:tRNA from 1 species